UACAGAGGUCUCAAGCGUUGUUCGGAUUCAUUGGGCGUAAAGGGUGCGUAGGUGGCGUCGUAAGUCAGGUGUGAAAUCUCGGGGCUUAACUCCGAAACUGCAUUUGAUACUGCGGUGCUUGAGGACUGGAGAGGAGACUGGAAUUUACGGUGUAGCAGUGAAAUGCGUAGAGAUCUGGAAGAACACCAAAGGCGAAGGCAGCGUCCUGGCUCGUAACUGACGCUCAUGUGCGAAAGCUAGGGGAGCGAACGGG
rnacentral:rRNA from 1 species